CUGAGUAUAAGAUGAACCAUAGGCUAAACAUUUGCUAUAGUAAGACCAUGCACAUGUCCCUAGGCCUAGUUCUUUCCCUAGGUCUGGUUUUCUAAAUGCUAGUGACAAAC
ensembl:snoRNA SNORA72 Small nucleolar RNA SNORA72